rnacentral:snoRNA from 1 species
GUGUCCACUACAGAUGCACAAAAAAAAAACAUCCUGGGACUUUCUUUCUGUCUGAUGGUGGUAGCUAAGAUUGAAUGAGGGAACACAGGA